rnacentral:rRNA from 1 species
UAACACAUGCAAGUCGCACGAGAAAGGGAGCAAUCCUAAGUAAAGUGGCGUACGGGUGAGUAACACGUGGAUCAUCUACCUUCUAGUGGGGAAUACCUCCGGGAAACUGGAGACAAUACCGCAUAAGCUCGAAAGAGGAAAGCAGCAAUGCGCUGGAAGAGGAGUCCGCGGUCGAUUAGCUAGAUGGUGAGGUAAUGGCUCACCAUGGCGAAGAUCGAUAGCCGGCCUGAGAGGGCUCACGGCCACACUGGCACUGAAACACGGGCCAGACUCCUACGGGAGGCAGCAGUGGGGAAUCUUGCACAAUGGAGGAAACUCUGAUGCAGCGACGCCGCGUGAGUGAUGAAGCCCUUCGGGGUGUAAAGCUCUUUCGACAGGAACGAUAAUGACGGUACCUGAAGAAGAAGCUGCGGCUAACUACGUGCCAGCAGCCGCGGUAAUACGUAGGCAGCAAGCGUUGUUCGGAAUUACUGGGCGUAAAGAGUGUGUAGGCGGUGCUCUAAGUUUGGUGUGAAAUCUCCCGGCUCAACCGGGAGGCUGCAUCGAAUACUGGAAUGCUAGAGGGUGGGAGAGGUAAGCGGAAUUCCUGGUGUAGCGGUGAAAUGCGUAGAUAUCAGGAGGAACACCUGUGGUGUAGACAGCUUACUGGACCACUUCUGACGCUGAGACACGAAAGCGUGGGUAGCAAACAGGAUUAGAUACCCUGGUAAUCCACGCCUUAAACGAUGAUUACUCGAUGUGUGCAAUACACCGUACGCGUCCUAGCGAAAGCGUUAAGUAAUCCACCUGGGGAGUACGAUCGCAAGGUUGAAACUCAAAGGAAUUGACGGGGGCCCGCACAAGCGGAGGAGCAUGUGGUUUAAUUCGAUGAUACGCGAGGAACCUUACCUGGGCUUGAAAGUUAGUGACCGGUGGUGAAAGCCACUUUUCCGCAAGGACACGAAACUAGGUGCUGCAUGGCUGUCGUCAGCUCGUGCCGUGAGGUGUUGGGUUAAGUCCCGCAACGAGCGCAACCCCUAUCUUUAGUUGCCAGCGAGUAAUGUCGGGGACUCUAGAGAAACUGCCCGUGCAAACGGUGAGGAAGGUGGGGAUGACGUCAAGUCAGCACGGCCCUUACGUCCAGGGCUACACACGUGCUACAAUGGCGAGUACAAAGGGCAGCUACACAGUGAUGUGAUGCUAAUCUCUAAAGCUCGUCUCAGUUCGGAUUGAAGUCUGCAACUCGACUUCAUGAAGCUGGAUUCGCUAGUAAUCGUAGAUCAGCAAUGCUACGGUGAAUACGUUCCCGGGCCUUGUACACACCGCCCGUCAAGCCAUGGAAGUUGGGAGUACCUGAAGUCCAUCACCGCAAGGAGUGGCCUAGGGUAAAACCAAUGACUGGGGCUAAGUAGUAACAAGGUA